GUCAGAGUUUCACUCUUGUUGCCCAGGCUGGAGUUCAAUGGCACGGUCUCGGCUCACUGCAACCUCUGCCUCCCGUAUUCAAGCAAUUCUCCUGUCUCAGCCUUCCAAGUAGCUGGGAUUACAGGCAUGCGCUACCAUGCCUGGCUAUCUUUUUGUUGUUGUUGUUGUUGUUGUAUUGUUAGUAGAGACAAUGUUUCUCCAUUUUGGUCAGGCUGGUCUUGAACUCCCGACCUCAGGUGAUCCGGCCGCUUCCGCCUCCCAAAGUACUGGGAUUACACGCAUGAGGGACCGCGCCCAGCCACCACUUAGCAUUUACAUUUUGCAAUUGUUGAAGUUAUCGAUUUAUACACACAUCAAUUGCUGCUUUGUUAUACACUUGCAGAUACAUAAGAUGGGAAAUAGAAAAGAAUAAAAUGGGCACGGUAUCCCUGAAGUUUCACAUUCUGAGACUUUAAAAAUAUUUGCUCUUUAGAAAUUUGUUUCAAUAAAGAAACUGUGGUAUACACACCCAAUGAAGUAUUAUUCAGCCUAAAGAGGAAGAAAAUCCUCUCCGCUGCAGACAAAAUGGAUGAGAUUGCAGGUCUGUAUAUUAAAUGAAAUAAGCCAGGCACAGAAUGUCAAAUAUUUCAUGUCCUCACUUCUACGUAGGAAGAAAAAAGGAAACCUUGACCAGGCGUGAGCGACGGGCCCGGCCCAUGCUGUAACAUUA
rnacentral:lncRNA from 10 species